AUGUUUUUUUUCGGAGACUUCUCAUCUCUCUUCUUCACACAAUGCUCAUCCUCUUUCAAAGAAAAACAAAAUACAAUAUUUAUCUUUCCUCAAAACAGAAUCAAACAUACAAAUAUCCAUGCUUUCAAGAUCAAAACAAAAGGAAUGGAAGAGGAACUUACCAAGGCCGAGGGAGGCAUGUCAAAGGCGUGGCUGGUCGGAGGAUGGUGGAACGUCGCUGGGGUGUGUGACAUGGAGGAUGGCUUCUUGACGGAACCGUGGUCGUGGGGAGAUUUGUGUGGUGGUAGAAAACACGGGUAUCAACUCUAUUUAUGUUAG